UACGUAGGGGGCAAGCGUUGUCCGGAAUCAUUGGGCGUAAAGCGCGUGUAGGCGGCUUGGUCAGUCUGCUGUGAAAGUCCAGGGCUCAACCCUGGGAUGUCAGUGGAUACUGCCAAGCUCGAGUCCGGAAGAGGAGUGUGGAAUUCCUGGUGUAGCGGUGAAAUGCGCAGAUAUCAGGAGGAACACCGGUGGCGAAGGCGCACAUCUGGCCCGAUACUGACGCUGAGGCGCGAAAGCUAGGGGAGCAAAC
rnacentral:rRNA from 1 species